CCUACGGGUGGCAGCAGUAGGGAAUAUUGCUCAAUGGGGGAAACCCUGAAGCAGCAACGCCGCGUGAAGGUCAGUGCCCUAUGGGCGUUAAACUUCUUUUGUGCGGGAGCAAUAAUGGUCACGUGUGGCCAGACGAGAGUACCGUACGAAUAAGCAUCGGCUAACUCCGUGCCAGCAGCCGCGGUAAUACGGGGGAUGCAAGCGUUAUCCGGAUUUAUUGGGUUUAAAGGGAGCGUAGGCGGGUUGUUAAGUCAGUUGUGAAAGUUUGCGGCUCAACCGUAAAAUUGCAGUUGAUACUGGCAUCCUUGAGUACAGUAGAGGUAGGCGGAAUUCGUGGUGUAGCGGUGAAAUGCUUAGAUAUCACGAAGAACUCCGAUUGCGAAGGCAGCCUGCUGGACUGUAACUGACGCUGAUGCUCGAAAGUGUGGGUAUCAAACAGGAUUAGAUACCCGGGUAGUC
rnacentral:rRNA from 1 species